rnacentral:rRNA from 1 species
AAUAGCGGCAUCAUUUGACGUUAGCAACAGAAGAAGCACCGGCUAACUCCGUGCCAGCAGCCGCGGUAAUACGGAGGGUGCGAGCGUUAAUCGGAAUUACUGGGCGUAAAGCGACAUGCAGGUGGUUUGUUAAGUCAGAUGUGAAAGCCCCGGGGCUCAACCUCGGAACUGCAUUUGAAACUGGCAGACUAGAGUACUGUAGAGGGGGUAGAAUUUCAGGUGUAGCGGUUGAAAUGCGUAGAGAUCUGAAGGAAUACCGGUGGCGAAGGCGGCCCCCUGGACAGAUACUGACACUCAGAUGCGAAAGCGUGGGGAGCAAACAGGAUUAGAUACCCUGGUAG